rnacentral:rRNA from 1 species
GAUGAACGCUGGCGGCGUGCCUAAUACAUGCAAGUCGAGCGAACAGACGAGGAGCUUGCUCCUCUGACGUUAGCGGCGGACGGGUGAGUAACACGUGGAUAACCUACCUAUAAGACUGGGAUAACUUCGGGAAACCGGAGCUAAUACCGGAUAAUAUAUUGAACCGCAUGGUUCAAUAGUGAAAGACGGUUUUGCUGUCACUUAUAGAUGGAUCCGCGCCGCAUUAGCUAGUUGGUAAGGUAACGGCUUACCAAGGCAACGAUGCGUAGCCGACCUGAGAGGGGGAGAGGACAAACUGGAAAUGAGACAAGGGCAAGAAUAAUAAGGGAGGCAGAAGGAGGGAAGAGUGAGAAAUGGGAGAAAGAGUGAAGGAGAAAAGAAGCGUGAGGGAUGAAGGUAUUCGGAUAGUAAAACUAUGUGAUGAGGGAAGAACAAAGGUGUAAGGAACUAUGCACGGCUUGAAGGUACCUAAUCAGAAAGACACGGCUAACUACGUG